CUUUAGGUGUUUAACCCAAAUCCGGAUUUACCCAACAUUUCCCAAUAUUAAGCAACCCUAAAAUCAAGUUAUGAGUAGCAAUUUCACAACAAGCAUUAAGAGAAGAAAUCAAACACUAACAAUCAAUGAAAGAGGCAUCUUUUCAUUCAAAACAAAAUGAUUUACAUAAUAGUUCAGUGGCUACAACAAUCCCCCAACAACUAUGAAA
rnacentral:lncRNA from 1 species